UGAGUAAAUCGGAUAGCCGCAAGGCCGGUAGGCCUUGAGGAAAGUCGGGGCUCCGCAGGGCAGGGUGCUGGGUAACACCCAGUGGGGGCGACCCCAAGGCUAGUGCCACAGAAACAAACCGCCCGGCACUCAACCGAGAGCUUAGAUGAAAUCGAGACUUGUACCCACUGGUUAACGUGGGGCAAGCAUUAGGCCAUGAGCGCUGGGUUGAGUGCCGGGUAAGGGUGGAAAGGUGAGGUAAGAGCUCACCAGCAGUUAGGCGACUAACUGGCUCGGUAAACCCCACCCGGAGCAAGACCAAAUAGGGGGGCAAUGGAGUGGCCCGCUCCGCUCCCGGGUUAGGUCGCUUGAGGUGUCAGGCAACUGGCAUCCCAGAUAGAUGGCUAUCGAACACAGAACCCCGCUUAUAGAUUUACUCAUAAC
rnacentral:RNase_P_RNA from 1 species